rnacentral:lncRNA from 1 species
UAAAAGACACACUAGUUAAAAUAAAGUCAAUAAAGGAGCUAGGGACAAAGACAACAAUCUAUAAUAGAUAGAGAGCAACAAAACCAAUAAUAUAACGCAAAUUUUGAUACAAAUAGUCAAUAGCGGGAAUUAAUACUACCACACUUAAUGGAUAUGCUAGUAAAUCAAGUAACUGUAAUCAGACAAGGUAACACACUCCAAAACUACUAAGAACAAUAAAGAGAUUCACACGUACAACACUAUUACAAAGUAACCAAUCAACAAGAAAUUCGACACCCACAACCAGGUAAUCAGCCAAGACGCUACGAAACA